CCUCAAUGGCGGCAGCGCAGAUAUUAUUAGUUCCGGAUGCUCUCUGCUGCGUAUCAUCCGUCCCAAACAGCUUCCAAGUAGAACAUAUAAACAUGAAACAGAGUGCACCCCAUCGUGGAUCGAACGGUGUGCGUACCCUUGGAGCAAGCACUGAAAUUCCAGACUCAAACUCAUCGUUCAUUCACCACACCGACUGCGGUUGGCCAGUCCCGAUCUGUGGUCAGCUGUUUGAGGAAGAAAAAAAAAUAUGACGGCGGUGCCAUCAAUAAAACGAAUUUCCGUUGGAGCAAACACCCCGUUUGAAAGGUUCAACAGCAGAAAAAUGUGUUUGAGAUAUAUCAACUAUUAUGGGGAUGUAAGCCUCCUAAAGAAACAAAAUAUGAUCAGAAAACAAUGUGUCAAAUGUCUGAUAUCUUAAAAAAAUAAUUGAA